UCCCUGGUGGCUCAGAGGUUAAAGCGUCUGCCUCCAAUGCGGGAGAUCCCGGGUUCAAUCCCUGGGUUGGGAA
rnacentral:tRNA from 1 species